AUGACUCUCUCCAUCUUCCUCAUCUGGACACUGCUCUGCUGCUGCCUCAUAGGAUCCAACAGUCAGGUGACUGUGACUCAGCCUCCGGUAGUGAAAUUUACUCCAGGAUCCACUGUCACUCUGAACUGUAAAACCAACCCAGAUGUUUACCAAAACAGUAAUGGUGAACGUCUGAACUGGUAUCAACAGAAAACUGGAGAAGCUCCAAAGCGCCUAAUAAAGCUUGUAAGCCAACGUGAAUCUCAAACACCAGCUCGGUUUAGUGGCAGUGGAAGCAGGACUGACUUCACUUUGACCAUCAGUGGAGUCCAGGCUGAAGAUGCAGCAGUUUACUACUGUCAGAGUUAUCAUUAUAUAAACAGUGUCAAUGAGUUCACACAGUGA